ensembl:snRNA U6 U6 spliceosomal RNA
AUGCUUACUUUGGCAGCAUAGAUACUAAAAUAGGAACUGCAUAGAGAAAAUUAGUGAGACUCCUGCACAAGAAUGACACAAAUUUAUGCAGCAUUCUAUAUUUUA